rnacentral:lncRNA from 1 species
UUUUACAGUUUAUAAACUGUAAAAUAAACUGUAAAGGGGCCGCAGCUGCUGUGUGUGUUUGGUCCUAUAGAAACUAUACCUGGAUGUGUUAUUUAUGGAAUGGUGAUGCAAUAAUUUUUUCCACUAUUACAGUAAAACCUCGAUUUUAUGGACCUCGAUUCUACGGACUUCAGAUUUUACGGACACCAUCCCAAAAAAUAAAAAAAAUAAUAUUAAUACAAUAUUUGCAUAAACGGUCUACAGUAUCGAGAUCCGCUAAGCUUCGAUAUGACCUCUACCGGAUUUUUUAGAACUAUUGAAAAGGUGACUGUUUUCAACACGUGAAAUGGUGGAUAUGGUGUAUAAGAAUCGAAAA